rnacentral:snoRNA from 12 species
UCCUCCUCCAAAGGCGUGUCUUUAGUUCCUUAUCUCUGGACAUGUAAGAAUUGGAGGUAAAGCAAUGCGGAUUUGGAGAAGUCUUGGACCAGCUUGCUCCCUGAAGGUUCAAGAUCAACCUUCCCACAAAG